CCUGGUGCUAGUCGCUGUCGAGAUUUUUCGGCAUUGAUCGUUGGCGUUUUGGCUCGUUCUCGGCGUAGGAGCGUCGGAUUUUGACGAGAUUUGGUUCGUUGGAUUCGGGACUUCGAGAGGAAUCCACGAAGCCUUUACUUGCCGAAUUUGGUGAAGAUCCGUGGAGCAUUGUUGUCGCUGGUUCGGGGAGCUGCGCCGAGCUUGACAGGGACUCCGGUGACCUUCUUCACUGUCAGGGAUUUACGUUUUAGAGCCAUCGUCUUCGGCUGCUGCUGUUGCCGACCAGGAUCGAGGCAAGGGCGUCACGAG